UACGUAGGGUGCAAGCGUUAGUCGGAAUUACUGGGCGUAAAGCGUGCGUAGACGGUUAUGUAAGUCAGAUGUGAAAGCCCCGGGCUCAACCUGGGAAUUGCAUUUGAGACUGCAUAGCUAGGGUGCGGAAGAGGGAAGCGGAAUUUCCGGUGUAGCGGUGAAAUGCGUAGAUAUCGGAAGGAACACCAGUGGCGAAAGCGGCUUCCUGGUCCAGCACCGACGUUCAGGCACGAAAGCGUGGGGAGCAAACAGG
rnacentral:rRNA from 1 species